GACGAACGCUGGCGGCGUGCUUAACACAUGCAAGUCGAACGAAGAGCGACGGAAGCUUGCUUCUAUCAAUCUUAGUGGCGAACGGGUGAGUAACGCGUAAUCAACCUGCCCUUCAGAGGGGGACAACAGUUGGAAACGACUGCUAAUACCGCAUACGAUCUAACCUCGGCAUCGAGGAGAGAUGAAAGGUGGCCUCUACAUGUAAGCUAUCACUGAAGGAGGGGAUUGCGUCUGAUUAGCUAGUUGGAGGGGUAACGGCCCACCAAGGCGAUGAUCAGUAGCCGGUCUGAGAGGAUGAACGGCCACAUUGGGACUGAGACACGGCCCAGACUACUACGGGAGGCAGCAGUGGGGAAUCUUCCGCAAUGGACGAAAGUCUGACGGAGCAACGCCGCGUGAGUGAUGACGGCCUUCGGGUUGUAAAGCUCUGUUAAUCGGGACGAAAGGCCUUCUUGCGAAUAGUGAGAAGGAUUGACGGUACCGGAAUAGAAAGCCACGGCUAACUACGUG
rnacentral:rRNA from 1 species